GACGAACGCUGGCGGCGUGCUUAACACAUGCAAGUCGAACGGAAAGGCCCUGCUUUUGUGGGGUGCUCGAGUGGCGAACGGGUGAGUAACACGUGAGUAACCUGCUCUUUACUUUGGGAUAACUUCAGGAAACUGGGGCAAAUACCGGAUAGGAGCUCCUGCUGCAUGGUGGGGGUUGGAAAGUUUCGGCGGUUGGGGAUGGACUCGCGGCUUAUCAGCUUGUUGGUGGGGUAGUGGCUUACCAAGGCUUUGACGGGUAGCCGGCCUGAGAGGGUGACCGGCCACAUUGGGACUGAGAUACGGCCCAGACUCCUACGGGAGGCAGCAGUGGGGAAUAUUGCACAAUGGGCGGAAGCCUGAUGCAGCAACGCCGCGUGCGGGAUGACGGCCUUCGGGUUGUAAACCGCUUUCGCCUGUGACGAAGCGUGAGUGACGGUAAUGGGUAAAGAAGCACCGGCUAACUACGUG
rnacentral:rRNA from 1 species